rnacentral:rRNA from 1 species
GAUGAACGCUGGCGGCGUGCCUAAUACAUGCAAGUCGAGCGAACGGACGAGAAGCUUGCUUCUCUGAUGUUAGCGGCGGACGGGUGAGUAACACGUGGAUAACCUACCUAUAAGACUGGGAUAACUUCGGGAAACCGGAGCUAAUACCGGAUAAUAUUUUGAACCGCAUGGUUCAAAAGUGAAAGACGGUCUUGCUGUCACUUAUAGAUGGAUCCGCGCUGCAUUAGCUAGUUGGUAAGGUAACGGCUUACCAAGGCAACGAUGCAUAGACGACCUGAGAGGGUGAUCGGCCACACUGGAACUGAGACACGGUCCAGACUGCUACGGGAGGCAGCAGUAGGGAAUCUUCCGCAAUGGGCGAAAGCCUGACGGAGCAACGCCGCGUGAGUGAUGAAGGUCUUCGGAUCGUAAAACUCUGUUAUUAGGGAAGAACAUAUGUGUAAGUAACUGUGCACAUCUUGACGGUACCUAAUCAGAAAGCCACGGCUAACUACGUG